ACUCAACGUUAAUUCUUUAAAAAGGGUGAGUUGAAGUUGUAAAAGCGAGCUGCAUGUGUUGAACUUGUUUCAGUGCAAAACAGAUACUUGAUCAGCUUAUUAGCCCUAAACUUGUUUUUAAGGAGUUU
rnacentral:sRNA from 1 species